AUAGCCUCUUGGCCUGUGGCUAAGAUCAUGCAUAGUAUCUGUUCUUAUCAGUUUAAAAUACAGUGGCCAAAACUGGACAUGCUACUCAAAAAUAAGCUACUACAA
rnacentral:snRNA from 2 species